AUGGUGAGACGCACCGGCCAGCGCGUGAGGCUCUACGUCCGUGGCACCAUCCUCGGAUACAAGAGGCCCAAGUCGAACCAGUACGAGACGACGUCGCUGCUGCAGAUCGAGGGGGUGAACACCAGGGAGGACGUGGCCUGGUAUGGCGGCAAGAGGAUGGCCUACGUCUACAAGGCCAAGACCAAGAGCAACGGCAUCCAUCUAGCUUUGACUCGAUGGCUCACAUCUUCAUCGAUAUCACCAUCCUUAUGCAACGUCGACCCGACAUAUUGGAACGUGUACUUCUGA
rnacentral:rRNA from 1 species